rnacentral:rRNA from 1 species
ACGUAACGCGUGGCGGCGUGCCUAAUACAUGCAACGUCGAACGGUCCUUCUAUGGAAGCUUGCUUCCACGUGAGAAGAUAGUGGGCGAACGGGUGAGUAACGACGUGGGUAACCUGCCCAUAAGAGGGGGAUAACAUCCGGAAACGGGUGCUAAUACCGCAUAGUUUUCUUGAUCGCAUGAUUGAGAAAGGAAAGAUGGCCUUUGUGCUGUCGCUUAUGGAUGGACCCGCGGCGUAUUAGUUAGUUGGUGAGGUAACGGCUCACCAAGACGAUGAUACGUAGCCGACCUGAGAGGGUGAUCGGCCACAUUGGGACUGAGACACGGCCCAAACUCCUACGGGAGGCAGCAGUAGGGAAUCUUCCGCAAUGGACGAAAGUCUGACGGAGCAACGCCGCGUGAGUGAAGAAAAGGUUUUCGGAUCGUAAAACUCUGUUGUCAGAGAAGAACAAGUUGGAGAGUAACUGCUCCAGCCUUGACGGUAUCUGACCAGAAAGCCACGGCUAACUACGUGCCAGCCGCCGC